rfam:Daphnia pulex DAPPTscaffold_1577_Cont13140, whole genome shotgun sequence.
UGACCUCAGUUUAGGUGAGACUACCCGCCGAACUUAAGCAUAUCAGUAAGCGGAGGAAAAGAAACUAACAAGGAUUUCCCCAGUAGCUGCGAGCGAACAGGAAAGAGCUCAGCACCGAACCUCGCAGCCGGUAAAGCGGGUGCCGAGGAAUGUGGUGUUCGGGAGAAGCGCGAGCGCCUGUCCGGCUUCCGUCCAAGUCUCCAUGAACGGGGCGAGCAACCCAUAGAGGGUGUCAGGCCCGUAGAAUUGGCGGGCCGAUUGACCGUGCAUUUGCUUUCUUUCCCAAGAGUCGGGUUGCUUGAGCGUGCAGCCCUAAGCGGGAGGUAAACUCCUUCUAAAGCUAAAUACCGCCACGAGACCGAUAGCGAACAAGUACCGCGAGGGAAAGUUGAAAAGAACUUUGAAGAGAGAGUUCAACAGUGCGUGAAACCGUUCAGGGGGUUAAACGGGUGGGCCCUCGAAGGUCGAAAGGGCUCCACUCCCGGCACUUGGUAGCACGCCCCGGGCCUUGAUUUUUGCGAUCCGUUUAACGGCGGACGCCGGGCUCGGGAUAGCGUUAGCCGCGCCAAGGUCCGCUAGUUUGGAGCCCCGGUAGGACUCUGCGACCGGUUGGGCGAGCUGCUAUAAGGGGCGUUCGUUAGCUGUCGAUCGGGCUUCGGUUCGUUUGGCGGCGCGGCGUCUGCGAGCAGUCCUGCCCGACCGUGACCUGUCACUCUAGGGGCGCGCUUCGGCCGACUCCACGGAGCAACAUCAGAGCAGAGAGUAAAGAGUCGGGUCCCACCCGACCCGUCUUGAAACACGGACCAAGGAGUCUAACAUGUGCGCGAGUCGUCGAGUAUAAAACUAAACUCGCGAGGCGCAAUGAAAGUAAAGCAGCCCUGAUGAAGGUGUUUCUGCGAGGGGAGAUCCCGUCUCGAAUAGAGCGGGCGCAUCCCCAGGGCGUUCCGAAUCGCGACUUUUAGUCGAUGGAACGAACCCGGAGCGCACACGUUGGGACCCGAAAGAUGGUGACCUAUGCCUGACCAGGUUGAAGUCAGGGGAAACCCUGAUGGAGGACCGCAGCGAUUCUGACGUGCAAAUCGAUCGUCGGAGUUGGGUAUAGGGGCGAAAGACUAAUCGAACCAUCUAGUAGCUGGUUCCCCCCGAAGUUUCCCUCAGGAUAGCUGGUGCUCGCAAAGAGAACGAACGGAGUUUCAUCCGGUAAAGCGAAUGAUUAGAGGCCUUGGGGUCGAAACGACCUCAACCUAUUCUCAAACUUUCAAUGGGUGAGAAGCCCGGCCUUUAAAUUCUUGAUUGAGGCCGCGGCAUUCGAAUCUGAGCGCCCAGUGGGCCAUUUUUGGUAAGCAGAACUGGCGCUGUGGGAUGAACCAAACGUUCGGUUAAGGCGCCUAAACGACGCACAUUUCGGAUCCCACGAAAAGGAGUUGGUUGCUAAAGACAGCAGGACGGUGGCCAUGGAGGUCGGAAUCCGCUCAGGAGUGUGUAACAACUCACCUGCCGAAGCAACUAGCCCUUAAAAUGGGAGGCGCUAUAGCGUCGUGCCUAUACCGGACCGUCGGUCGGCAGAGCGAAUAUACCGGAACGAGGGCGAAGAGCCCUUCAAAGUCCGGCUGAGGCCCCGACGAGUAGGGGGGUCGCGACGGUGAGCGUUGAAGGGUUGUGGGCGCGAGCCUGCCCGGAGCCGCCGUCGGUGCAGAUCUUGGUGGUAGUAGCAAAUACUCCAGAGGGAUCCUGGAGGACUGACGCGGAGAAGGGUUUCAUGUGAACAGUGGUUGGACAUGAGUCAGUCGAUCCUAAGCCGCAGGAGAAAUCCGACCAAGGGACGGGUGUGAUUUUUUCAGCAAAAAAAAAAAAGGCUUCAAAAACUUUUUUUUUUUUUAACGAUAUAAAAAGAGGCCC